rnacentral:tmRNA from 1 species
CCUGGUUUCGACGUGGUCGAUUCUCCGGCAGAGUCGCAAGCCGAGGUCCCCGGUCGGCCUCGUAAAACAACCGGGAAACAACGUAAGUGCGGAUAACGAUCACGCACUCGCUCUCGCUGCCUAAUCAGUAGCUGAGCGCGUCGCUCCGAACUCGGCCCGUGGUUCGGGUAGCGGCGUCAAAAACGGGCUCGGUGCAUCCGAAGCGGCCCGUGCUCAUUCCGUUGCUGGACAGCGUCGUGCAGGCAUACCUGGCGACGGACACGGUU